GCUCAAGCAAUGCGCUUCAUUUACAGCUCCCACAUUUAAAACGCAUCAAUUGUUCAUUGUUGGCAAUUGCUUAAAGCUUUUUGCAAUGGGUCAACUUUAGCUUCCACCGUCGUCUGUCU